CUCCCCGAUCCCUCCCACCUCCCCUCCCCUCGCCGCCACCCACCCCUCCCCUCGCACUCCUCCCUCCCCCCCGGCAAGAUCCAGCACGCGGCCUCCCUCUCCUCGAUCCAGAUCGACAGGUCCACCACCUACACUUCCGGCGAUCCCCAAUCCGGCGACAGAGAUGGCUGCUCCCGCGCCGGCCUUCUUCCUCGCCCCAGAUGCCGCUGCUCGUCUCCUCUCCGGUGAGUGCGGAGGAGCCACCGCGGUCGAGGUAGCCGUCGGCUGGAGCCCCGCCUCUUCUCCUCUCCGGUCACCGUGGAGGUCCGCCGCGUCCAACCUCCUCGACGGCGCCCUGAACCCUAGGCGGCCCAUCUCUUCCUCCCAUGGCCAUGGCCAUGGUGAGCCUACAAGAUGUGCAGCAGCAGAUAUUGAUUUCCCAGCCCGCCUGACGGCCCGCUCCCCUCGCCCCCGCGCAGAUCUUCGAGUACAACGGCUCCGCAACCUGCAGCCGCCGGUCCGGGACGAGCGCAGUGCCGGUUCAGGUGUCCAGCGUCAACCAGAGCGCGCCCCAGAUGCUCGACGGAACGCCCGCUGCACCGCCUGGUCUCAACUUUCUUGCCCUUUGCCAAGCUGAGGGAGAGGGCUAGGGGCUCGGGUGGUGCAGUGGCUGUAAGAAUACGCUCGGGAAAGCAGAGUCGGGUCUACUAGGGCGGCAUCCCCGGCCGUCGUCGGCGGCUACUUCAUCUACAAAGGCUCCAAGCUUGUCCAUGACUCCACUGCCCUCCAGGUUACGUCCGAAUGCUCGUUCCCUCCUCCCCUCAGAUCCACUAGCGUGUUGGUUGGAAUCAGUGGAUAUUCACAUGAUGUAUACAUGGAACUGCAGCUUCACAUCUUUGUCCUGAAUCAUAAUGAGUAUCUUUUCUCGCCAUCGAUUUCUGCACGUAUGGUUCAGCUGGUAUGUCUAGAUCUACAUGUUCACCUGGCUUAUGGUGCAUCUCAAUCAUGGACGACAAAAUGUCAAAAUCCUAGCUUAUAUACACUGUACUAAUGUGGGUGGAUACAAUUUCAGAAGAUGAAACUUCAAUAAAAUGAAAAGGCAAAAUUAUAUUGAUUGUUGCCUUCCAUCCUUUUCCUGAAUCGUAAUGCUGAUCUUUUCUUUUGAUUUAUGUGUCUUUAUUUAAGUUAGCUCAUCAUGAGCUAUAGGUUUAGCUGGUUUGUUGGAUGCCAGGUCUUUCUUGUCAUUUUUGACAACCUUUUGAUUUGUAUCUUGAGCCACAUUUUCUACUUCUUGUCUUUUCAAUGUGAGAAUACCAGACACGAAAUGAUGCAUAUGCAUUGUGAUACCUGGAUCACUUUAAAUUCAGGAUUAUUCAUGGCUAAUUCAGGAUUGAAGCAGGGGAAACCCCCCUCCUCCAUAUUGCCUGCUGAUUAUUUGGGGAUGUCUGUGGAGAGAGAUGUUGAUACUUCUAUAGGCCUAUCACUUCAAAUUUUAUUACAACCAGUUUUAUGCCUAGAACAAUCAUGGUGUCUAGUUUCUGUUUUAUGCCCCACGUUUUACUAGCUACAAGCUCAGCUUCGUGCUCUGUAGGAAAUAAGUACAUCAUUAUUUAGGCGUGUUCUGAUAAUAGUGAAGAAUAAAGGUGUCUUCUGAUGUGGUGGUGCCAAACAAAACUUUUAUGCUUAUUGCUGAGCUUACUUUUAAUAUUGUGAACAUGACAAUUUAUAGGCUGUACUGAAGUUCCACUCAUUUUAUUCUGUGUCCUGAGCUUACCUUUGUAUGUCAGGAUUUUUUCUUCAUCUAUUACCCUUCCUUUGGUUGUAGUUUAUCUUCGUACAGAAACCAAUCUUGGUGUUCUUCCUACUUGCAUUUGAUUAUGUUUUUAAAAUUCCCUAGCACAACUAUAUAUGACAAUGUGGGUAUCUUUUCUGUUUUCAGUGUCUAUAGUGCAUUUGCAUGAUCUUGAAUUAUGUGCUACAGAAUAUAAUUAGCUGAUUUAAACUGCUGUUUUCCUUCGCCUAAUCAAAUGCCCUUUGUCUUUGCAGUAUGCAUACCCAAGUCAAGCUUGCGGUCACGAUGAAGGUGCUGAUAUGGGUUUCCUAUCUUCAGAAGUAAAAUGUUUGCUUGCUACCUUCUUUAGGAUGUUGUACUUCAUUCAUGUUUCAUCGUGGGCUCCAAGACGAAGAAGUCGGGAGAAUCAUAGACUUCUAGCUCAUUGGAUCAUAGACUUCUAGCUUAUUGGAGCUAGUUAUACGUCGAUAGCUUGUUAUUUUUUUAUUCUAUAUUUGUGUUACCUGAUGCGAACUAUUUCUGAUUGUAAACCUGAUGUGAACCAUGUUUGAUCGCAAUGUGCCAGGUUUGGCUCUUUUUGAUUGUAUUCAUGAUUUGAACCAUGUUUUCAUGAUAUUUAGUUAUGCUUUGUUUGAAGCAUUGUAUAAAUAUUGGUUAUUUAUUUAUUGGAUCAUUGAAAUCUGAGGAACCAUUUGCUA